GCCCUACAAAUUGCACGCUUGAUCCCAUGAUUGUCCAUGAAACCCCUUGGCCACAAUUGUGCAAGCUCUAGAUACAACUUUCUGACUGGUGGGCCAGCAUCUUCAUCCAGUCCAUCAACAAAGAGGUCAUAAAGAUCACAAAUUUUGUCCUCCAAAACAGCAUCCAUGCUAAAUUUUCUUUUAAGAGCUCCUUUUUCCUCAGAAGCAAUUUCUUGCAAAUCACCGGAUGCUCCAGCUUGUUGCUCCAAUGUCUUGGACUCUGAAGAUGGGACACAUAUCUUAAUCAUCUCAGCAACUUCUUUCUUUAUUUGUUGGAACUUAUCAUCUUUCUCCUGCUUUGCAGACAAGCUCAUG
rnacentral:misc_RNA from 1 species